GGUAUAAUCAGAAAAAUCCAGAUGACUAUGUGGCUCAUUGGUACAGGAAAUCUACUUUUUUGGAUACUUACAACAACCUCAUACUGCCUUCUAAUGGACCAAAAUUAUGGCCACAAGUUGACCUUCCACCCAUCUUGCCACCAUAUGUUAGAAGGGAACCAGGUAGGCUCAAAAAACAAAGAAAAAAAGGUAAUGAUGAGAAGGUGAAACAUUCUGAAUCUGGUUCUGGUGGUAGUAAAUCUGUGCCCAAAAGAAACCAACACAGUCUCAAGUGUGGAAGGUGUGGUGAGCUUGGUCAUAAUGCUAGGACAUGUUAUGGU